CAUCAGUCAUCAUGAAUCUAAUAACUGCAUUUCUGCUAAUGAUCCUAACAGGACAUAGCACAUCUGAAUAUCUGCAGAAACUCUUCUGCUCCUAUGAGAACAAGAAUAUAACUCUGAACAGGCCCAGGGUGUGGUGCAAAAGAGAUGCCCAGGAUGAAAACUGCUGUACGGGCUUCUCUUUCCAGCCAAACGUCAAGCUUUUGGAGCAAGGCAGUAUAGCUGUGGAGGAUGAUGGAAAGUCCUUCACCAUCUCGGUAAAGACACUCACGCAAGGGGAUGGAGUCUACUGGUGUGGGUUCAUGACUGGAGACAAGAUCAUCGUAAAACUGGCCGAGGGUUACUUUAGCAACACUCCAUUUAACUUUGUUUGGUUCAUCCUCCGCUGGAUUUUAUUUAUUUUGCUCCCUGUGGCGAUCAUUUCAACUCGCAUUUAUUCAAACAGAAAACAUGGAGAUACUAAGACAACAUAACACAUUACAUGAUGUCACAUGCCACAGAAAAGCGGAUGGAAGAAUGAGGCCAUCACCUUUACUGAAGAAUAAACAAAAUAUCAUUUAACUUAAGCCACCACCGAGUGUGAAUGUAGUUUCUGUUGUUGUAAUUCCUUAUAAGUGUUUUGCUUUUUUUUUUUUUAAUACAAAAAGGGUCACAGUGACAGGC
rnacentral:lncRNA from 1 species